rnacentral:rRNA from 1 species
CGAGUUGUAAUUUGUAGAGGAUGCUUUUGGUGAGGUGCCGCCCGAGUUCCCUGGAACGGGACGCCACAGAGGGUGAGAGCCCCGUCUGGCUGGCCACCGAGCCUCUGUAAAGCUCCUUCGACGAGUCGAGUAGUUUGGGAAUGCUGCUCAAAAUGGGAGGUAUAUGUCUUCUAAAGCUAAAUAUUGGCCAGAGACCGAUAGCGCACAAGUAGAGUGAUCGAAAGAUGAAAAGCACCUUGAAAAGAGGGUUAAACAGUACGUGAAAUUGUUGAAAGGGAAGCGCUUGUGACCAGACUUGGGCGCGGCGGAUCAUCCGGGGUUCUCUCCGGUGCACUUCGCCGCGUUCAGGCCAGCAUCAGUUCGUCGCGGGGGAAAAAGGCUUCGGGAACGUGGCUCCUCCGGGAGUGUUAUAGCCCGUUGCAUAAUACCCUGCGGUGGACUGAGGACCGCGCAUCUGCAAGGAUGCUGGCGUAAUGG